GUGCACGCUGGCGGUAGGCCUAACACAUGCAAGUCGAACGGCAGCACAGCAAGAGCUUGCUCUUACGGGUGGCGAGUGGCGGACGGGUGAGGAAUACAUCGGAAUCUACUUUUUCGUGGGGGAUAACGUAGGGAAACUUACGCUAAUACCGCAUACGACCUACGGGUGAAAGCAGGGGAUCUUCGGACCUUGCGCGAUUGAAUGAGCCGAUGUCGGAUUAGCUAGUUGGCGGGGUAAAGGCCCACCAAGGCGACGAUCCGUAGCUGGUCUGAGAGGAUGAUCAGCCACACUGGAACUGAGACACGGUCCAGACUCCUACGGGAGGCAGCAGUGGGGAAUAUUGGACAAUGGGCGCAAGCCUGAUCCAGCCAUACCGCGUGGGUGAAGAAGGCCUUCGGGUUGUAAAGCCCUUUUGUUGGGAAAGAAAAGCAGCAGGUUAAUACCCCGCUGUUCUGACGGUACCCAAAGAAUAAGCACCGGCUAACUUCGUG
rnacentral:rRNA from 1 species